rnacentral:rRNA from 1 species
AGGACGAACGCUGGCGGCGUGCUUAACACAUGCAAGUCGAGCGGUAAGGCCCUUCGGGGUACACGAGCGGCGAACGGGUGAGUAACACGUGAGCAAUCUGCCCUCCACAUCGGGAUAACCCCCGGAAACGGGAGCUAAUACCGGAUACGACCACUUCAGGCAUCUGAUGGUGGUGGAAAGUUCUGGCGGUGGAGGAUGAACUCGCGGCCUAUCAGCUUGUUGGUGAGGUAAUGGCUCACCAAGGCUUCGACGGGUAGCCGGCCUGAGAGGGUGACCGGCCACACUGGGACUGAGACACGGCCCAGACUCCUACGGGAGGCAGCAGUGGGGGAAUAUUGGACAAUGGGCGAAAGCCUGAUCCAGCAACGCCGCGUGAGGGAUGACGGCCUUCGGGUUGUAAACCUCUUUCAGCGCAGACGAAGCGAAAGUGACGGUAUGCGCAGAAGAAGCACCGGCCAACUACGUGCCAGCAGCCGC